UUAAAUUGAAGAGUUUGAUCAUGGCUCAGAUUGAACGCUGGCGGCAGGCCUAACACAUGCAAGUCGAACGGUAACAGGAAGCAGCUUGCUGCUUCGCUGACGAGUGGCGGACGGGUGAGUAAUGUCUGGGAAACUGCCUGAUGGAGGGGGAUAACUACUGGAAACGGUAGCUAAUACCGCAUAACGUCGCAAGACCAAAGAGGGGGACCUUCGGGCCUCUUGCCAUCGGAUGUGCCCAGAUGGGAUUAGCUUGUUGGUGGGGUAACGGCUCACCAAGGCGACGAUCCCUAGCUGGUCUGAGAGGAU
rnacentral:rRNA from 1 species